UUUCCUGUUCUAUAGACUUCUUAACUUCUCCGUUCCUAUUUUCCCCAUCCAUCUCCUCCGAUCCCCUUUCUCUUUUCCUAAAUCUUGCUUCUCACUCAAAAAUUGCUGCUGCUGGAUAUCUCCCAUCAGCUUUCUUUGCUGAUUCACUUCAUGGAGGUUUAUCUUCCUCACCUGGAGCCACCCCCGCAGCUGGUUAUGGCACACAUGUUCAGCAUGGACGGCGGCUUGUCUCUGUCCUGCCCUCUUGCAUCUAGCUUGAGUAUGAGAUUGCUGGCUACAUUUUCUUUCACAAUUGCGCAAAGCAGACACAUCGUUUCUAUUUCUGCUCGAGGUAGCCCGGCACAUCACCCUCAUCCUUCACAGCGGUAACAUUCUUCAAAGCUCGACCUGAAGGUCCCUAUUUUUCCUUUUCCGACUGUAAUUUAUCCCCUUUUUCUUAUCCUUUUCCUAUGGUUGUGCGGUUGAACCAAUAUAAUGUAAUCAACGAAAUGACUUUUAGUGGUAAACAUUUCAUAUUUUUUCUUUCUAAUCUCGGAAAAACAUUUGAUUUUUUUUGUAAGUGGUCUAGUACAUAGUAGCUAGUAAUUAGUUCGUGAAAAUUUUAAAAUGUAAUUAUAUGUAUGAGCAGACAUACCAAUCAAAAUUAGUACUAUAUCGGUAAUUAAUUUAUAUUAAUCCAAAUUAGAACACAGAAUGGAACUUUGUGUUUAUCUUAAAAACAAUACAAGAAAGUAUGUACUUUUGACCUCACUGUUAGAUUUGUUUCUUUUCACAACUCUUCGCGGUUUCUUGUCGGUAGUCCUUUUGACAUGUGUAUAGUUUUGUUCGCAAUCUUUAUCUGAAUCAUCCUCUAUGGUAAUUAUAUCUGAACCUGUAGCUCAAAUGUUUCUUUGCGCACAUCCUGUCAAUCUGCGCAAUGGAGGAGGUGAGCUUGUCGAUCUUGACAGUAUCGUUGUCGUCGUCGUCCUUGGAGGCGAUAUGGGCAUGGAUCUUGUCUGCUACAGCGAGCUUGGAUCCACAUCGCAUCGUGGCUGUCCCCGAGCAAGACAGCCCAGCAGGUCGCCUUGAUCCUCGAUAGAGGUAGCCUGAUUUCGGCGACUCAUUCUUCCACCUGUAUGUCCCCACUUCUCCAUUUUCAUGCAUUUAUCAUAAUUUUUCUUGGUUCUUAUCAUUUCUCUUCAUGUGUACGGCUAAACUAAUAUAAUGUGCAUUAAGGUACAACUUGUUACUGAAAGAUGUAAAUUUAUCUAUGCCCCUCCACUUUUUUCCGUACAUUGGACCGGCAUCGACAAUGUCAGGCCCCCCUGCCCCAUUUCAUUUGUAGACUUAAUAUGUAAUUUAAUUAAUUUGUGCUUUGCUAUAAUUUUACAAUUUCCCAAAGAUAGAAUUAUUUUCAGUAAGUGAAUAUGAAAAUAGGUGCUAUUACAUUUUACAUAUUAACUAUAACAAUCCGUGGAUGCUGUAACUAUUGUCAUGUUCAGUAGAAUAAGUUUCAAAUAUCAAAAUAUAUAUAGCAUUGGCAAUUGGUAUUAUUGGGCUAUUUCCAUCGAAUGUUGAUGCAUCUUUCCAAUAAUUCUGGGAGCAUUACAUCAUAUCUGUCGUCAUAUCAUGUUAGCAUAGAAAAAUCAGUUUAGUUCCAUCUUCUUAUGGUUAUGUUCCGUCAGAUCAUGUUAGCAUAGAAAAAAUAGUUUUGUUCCAUCUACUUAUGGGCUUUAUGGCUAUCUAAAAAGGCUAGUAGCAUCUGUAAGUGUAUUUUUAGUUCCUACCUUCAGUAUAUUUCUGUGUAGGCUAUGUUCUUGACCACAUCAUCCUCGCUGUUGGUUUAUUUGCUAUAGAAAAGAAAAUAACAUGUGUGAUCAAGUCGGUACGGCAUUACUUGCGAGUGUGUUUCCAAAUAUUCCCUUUCUCUUACAUUUCUCAUGAACUCUUUGAGCUUUAUGUAGAUCACCCGGUCAACAAUACCAGGUCUUUAUGAUGCUGCUAUGCCUACUUUCUGUAGCAAAGAUUGAAUGUGACAAAUAGGUCUGUGUAUCCAGCCCACCUACAUAUUGCCAUAGCAUCUUAGUAGUCUUAUGCUUUGAAUCUUGGGCUAUCUGUGAAGCUGGAUGGUGCACGACAAUAGUAUUGUCCUUCAUACCUAGGCAGCCCUUGUAUCUUCUCUGUCUAUUGUGUCUUGCAAGCAAGCAUAUAAUUGUGUUCUUAGGUUUCCUUUAUGUCUUUUGAUGCAGUCUAUUUGUACUGCACUACUGCAAAAUGCAUACAAAGGCAUCCAUAUUGAACUAUAAUAAGCUUUUCACACACCAGUAAGUGUUUACAUGCUUUCUCUUGCAUUUUGCACCUUCUUCUAUUGUGUAAUGUAUAUUUCCUCUGUACCCAUCUUCUCCUAGGGGAAUAACAAUCGAUACUGCACAUCCAUGUAUUUUGGAUGGUUCUCCGAUAUUCUUCUUGGUCUCAUGUCUUUGUACUGAACAAUGAUAUCAUGUCCUUUUCCAUUCUCUAUUGUAUCAUUCACAAUCAACGCUGCUACUUCAGUUGCAGAUGGCAUGUCAUGUCGUGUUAAUCUCACGUCGUGAUAGUUCAAGGCCGCUACUUCACUUGCAGAUGGCAUGUCAUGUCGUGUUAAUCUCACGUGGAUAGUCACCUUCCUCGAAUUUAUCCCUUGCCAUUCUGAGUGUUUUUGCUAGUCUAUUAUCUUUAUCCAAUAUAUUUUUCAGGCCAUCGACAAUGUGAGGAUCUAUUGACUCCCUUUUACCUUCUGAUGUUGACGUGUCAAUCCUGAUUCUUACCUCAUUUGUAGUGGCAUAGGUGUGCAGCUGCGCUGUGUGUGGUUUAUCUUUACCUUAAGGUAGUAGAGUACCUAUCUGUGAUAUUUUUGGCCAUUCAUUCCAAAUACAUAAGGCCCGGGACCAUUUUUUAUUUCUGUGUCUACCUUUCCUCCCAUUGAUGUAAAGUGAACAUGGAGUCGUCGAAUCUGAUAUUGUGCAUGUAGUUUUUCCACCUCUUUAUGAACUUAAAAGCAUUUGAUUGUGUUGUCACACCUUGAAUUGAACACAUGCAUUAUACUCCUGAUUCUGUUCUUGAUGUUAAGAAAGAUUGAACUCUAAGAAUAAGAUCAGAUUGCAAUUGAGGAUGAGAAGUUGAUGUACAAUAAUGACUGAAAAUCCACAAGGGGAACUUAGGACAAGUUUAAAAAGCUAUUUGACAUGAAUGAAAAGCUCUUUGAUUGUGUUGUCGUACCUUGAAUUGAAGACAUAAGUUGUACUGUCGUUUCUGCUCUUACUUUUAAGAAAAGAUUAAACUUUAUGUCAGUUCUAUAUGGCCUCUGCAGAUGGUCUAGCGGCUGGAGGUGAUCUGCUCACCUGAUGGAACCAACGGCACACAGUCGAGGAGAUUGGGGCACUCGCUCAUGAGUGUUCUUUUUUAGGGAAAACCUGAUGGAGCCGAUGGCACAAUUGAGGAGUUUGGGGCCCUCGCUCGUGGGAGUUCUUUUUUAGGGAAAGCCAUCAUGGCGAUGUAUAUUGAUUUGGAAUAACAGUAAUUAUCCGUAAGAACAUCAAGUAAAAAAGUUAGGGUGGCAUGUGAUGCUAUGAGUCGAACCUAUGGUGAGUUUUGUUUAUGAGAUUGUGAGAUUUGUGUAAAGAAUAUGGGACAGAUCAAAA